GCCCCGCGGAGCCUCCGUCGGGCGAGGCCGCCCGGGCCUCCCGGCCGAGCCGGGGCUGCCGAGCCGCAGGGCGGGGCCCGGACUCCCGCAAAAUGGAGCGCCCGACCGCGCCCGCGAGCUCCUGUGGAGCGCUGUGCGGACCUUCCCGGAGCUUGCAAGGCUGGGGAAUUUCCUUCUGUAGGUUUGAGUGGAGAACUCUCGUCUUGAUAAUUCCAAAUUGGAUGCCUAAAGCUGCGACCAAAGACCAAAAUUUUCAGUCUGUUGUAGCGGUGACCUUUGCGAAUUUUUACACAUAA
rnacentral:lncRNA from 1 species